AAAGCGCGCGUAGGUGGUUCGUUAAGUUGGAUGUGAAAUCCCCGGGCUCAACCUGGGAACUGCAUCCAAAACUGGCGAGCUAGAGUAUGGUAGAGGGUGGUGGAAUUUCCUGUGUAGCGGUGAAAUGCGUAGAUAUAGGAAGGAACACCAGUGGCGAAGGCGACCACCUGGACUGAUACUGACACUGAGGUGCGAAAGCGUGGGGAGCAAACAGGAUUAGAUACCCUAGU
rnacentral:rRNA from 1 species